rnacentral:rRNA from 1 species
GACAGAGGGUGCAAACGUUGUUCGGAAUUACUGGGCAUAAAGAGCACGUAGGUGGUGCGCUAAGUCACGUGUGAAAUCCCCCGGCUCAACCGGGGAAUGGCGCGUGAUACUGGCGGACUCGAGGCGGGUAGGGGUGAGCGGAACUCCGGGUGGAGCGGUGAAAUGCGUAGAGAUCUGGAGGAACACCGGUGGCGAAAGCGGCUCACUGGACCUGAUCUGACACUGAGGUGCGAAAGCUAGGGUAGCAAACGGG